GAUAGUUUCCCCUUUGGCGGAUGAUGUUUUUACAAGCAUGCCUACACCGAUGGGCAUUUGGAGGAGCCGGCAACGGUGGCAGUGCUUCAUUUUCCUGCCGACAAUGGAAGUAUGGACCAGCAAGAAAUAUCGAGUUGAAAAUUCCGUUCGAACAUGCAGAUUGGCAUACUUGCUGAGAAGGUUACAACUGUAGAAGGAAGCAGUUGAGAAGAGAAGCACGUAGGGGAUGAUGUCGAUCUUGCACAUUCAGCUUUAUGUAUGUAGUCUCACUCUCAUCUUAUUUAAUUUAUUUAUAUCAGUUGAAUAAAGAAAUAUAGCCUCUUAGGAUCUAAAUCAGCAAUUGUAAAAUUGAUCGAUACUUGUGCUCGCUCACAGUAGAUGUUAAUUUUUUUUUAUUUUACAGUACAUUUGGAUGUCGGAGUUCGUUGCAAUACCACAUAAGCAUCAUUUGAAAGCUUGAUUUUGUCAUUGAAUUUAAUGUAUUUGUCCGUAUAAUAUUUUCACCCACACUGGCCUUUUACCUACUCCUAUUAAUAUACAGUAGCAAACAAGUCCUUGACUCCUUCAGGAGUAUUCAGUAAGACUAAAAAGCUGAAAAAGAUAUUAAUGCCUUCAGGUAAAUGCUUCUUCGUGUACCAUAUAUGGCAGUUUGGUAAAAAGAAAAAGAAAACAACGGAGCAAAUUAAAAUAUAAUAUGUUUAUCAAAAAGGCAGAAGGUAAUCGAUGAGCAAACAUAUUUACAUUCUAAUAUUUUUUAUUUUCUUUUCUUGAUAUGUUAUUUCCUUUGCUGAUCCUUCUCUUCUUCAUAUGAACAGCCCCCAGCUAGAUUGACGAGAAAGUUUAUUUUGCACAUGGUCUUUUCUGGUUUUGUCCUUGUAGCAAGAAGUACAUUUUUAUAACAAUAUCAGCUUUGCUCUGGUGUGUGCAAUGAUUUCAUUCAGAUACAGACCUUUUGGAAAUUGUGGUUUUCUUUUGUAUUUUUGUCCUAAUAUGGAAUGUU